GGGAGUUCUGUGAUUGGAGAGGAGAGGAGACAGGGAUGAGGCAGAGCAUGGGAUGGGGCUAUCAACAGAUGUAGAUUAUUCCUUGCACAAGAGAUGAUGAUGAGCUGUGAAUGAGUUCUGAGAGAUGGCUGGUGUUGUUGUUGCUCCCUCCCCUGCACUGCCUCUUCCCUGGCUCCCCUGCACACCUCUCUCUCUCUCUCUCUCUC
rnacentral:pre_miRNA from 1 species